CACGGGGCUCGAACCCGCGAGCCGUGAGGUCAUGACCUAAGCCAAAGUCAGACGCUUAACUGACUGAGCCACCCAGGCACCCCUCUUUUCUCAUCUUUUAGGAUAGAUAUCCUACAGUGUUGUUACAACUAUAGAGACCAGAGGAAACAUAUAUUAAUUUUAAAGACUGCAGUCAAUUCUUUUUUACUGAGUCUGCUCAGCCACCUCUUACAGAAUGGGCCCUAAAAAAAGAAAAUCCUCCUUGGGAUGGACACAGAAGGACGAUGGAGGCAUUAUGUGUCUUGCGUGUGUAGAGUGGAUGGUUGUGUAAAUGAGCGAACAGAAAUAGGAAGGAGCGCUCUACUGUUCCCACCAGAGGCCACUGCCGGGGCUCCAGGAAGCAGCUAGGAGGGGUGUGGCUCAGGUGUUCCAGAAGACAGGCGGGGCUCGUUCUUGAGUGGCCCCGUCAUCUUUAUUCCAGGAGGUCAAACUCAACUCCAGCCUCUAACCAGGGCAGCAGAGCUGGUCUCAAAUGAUGUGGGAAAACCAUUUGAAACAAUGAAUUGUUAUCUAGCAAUGUUGCCUCCACUCUGCUUCUGCACAUGGCAAACUGUGUAUUCCAGACACAGGCCCAUGCCAGCUCCCACCAAGAGGUGCAGUCCGAGUCCCCCUGCCCUGGGACCCCUCAGGCCUUUGUGACUGUGUCAGCUGAGGGAGCUGUCAAAGCAGUGAGGGGCCACUGAGGGGGCCCUGAGGUCACAAAGCCACACCUGGCUUUCCCUUUCCCAGGACACACGCCAUGGGAGUCCCAAGGCCCUGUGUGACAAGGCUGGCUGCAAAGUGUGGCUUGAGAGACCACGUGGAGAAACAGAUGCCCAACAGGCUCCAGCUCCACCAGUCCCCGCAAGGAGCCUCCCAGCCCCGGUGCCAGGUCACCAGCCCCCACUGAUGUGCACCGAAGAGACACCGUCAGACUUUGCGAGUUCCUCUUAGAAUCCCAAGAGUUAAUUUCCCAUCAUGAGGCUACUGUUCCUUCUCUUUCUCCUCCUUGUGUGUCUUAUCCAGACGACAUCAGGUAAGCUGUGGCUCCUGUUGGUAGGAUGAUAUGACAGAUGGCCUUGAAGAAUAGGACCAAAUUGAUUCAUAAUCCAAUGAUGCAUCGAAGUCUGUAACAACGGAGUAAUUUCACAGCUGAAAGAAGCAUACAUAUACCACACACUCCCUUUUACGAAUAACGAAAAGGGAAAUUUAAGAAAACUUAAAAGAGUUUCCCAAGAUUGCUCUUAACUGGUUGAUAGCAAGCCCAUAACUAGUAAUUGACGAUAGAUAAUAUUUACAGAGACUUUACAGCUUACAAAUUAUUUCCAUGUGAAUAACAACAACACUAAUAGCAGAUAAUAUUGACGCUUCCUCUUUACCAAACAUCACAACAAAAACUUUUCAUGUCCUGUCCCACGUGUACCUCCUAACACUAUUUCUGGGU
rnacentral:lncRNA from 1 species